AUGUAGUCACGUAGUUUUCUUAGACGGUGAACAAGCUGUAUUACAAAGAGCAAAAAGUUUUUUCUUUUGGAGAUACACCGAAAUAUUAAAGAAAUAUUCAGAGAGCGAGACAACAUUGGUUGUGAUGGCUGAACGUUUUUUCCUGCUACUAGUCACCCGCGAGGCACGGAGCAGCCGCGUGAGCACAUUUUGACCAGAGGUCAGGUCCUUUUAGCGGGAACCUAAACUUCCUGGAGCUGCAUUCGAAUAUCGUUGGAUGUCGAUGGCAUACUGGUCCAAGAUUUGCACAAGAUUGACUACACCUAGAGUUAAACCAACAAGGUUACCACAGGCAAUCCAGUCAGGCACUGCAAAUACCCACAAGUCUAUCAAUCCUGGUGAAGAGCUGCUCCACGGAUGGCCGAGGCUGCCCCUGGCCUCUCUUCCGUCGCCGAACACUGGAGCCGUUGCAGUCCAUGGCUCGCUUUCUGCAAUCCAGGUUACCCACCAACUGGAUACACGCCACCAACUGAGGGAUCAAAUACUCUAAUUCAUCUCCGCUUAGCCAACACUCAGCACAAUACAAGCUGCAAGGG